ACAUCGAAAAGGCAAACUCAUCGAAAGAUGGGGACGCAAAGCCACGGGUCUAAGGGUUUUUAGAACUAUGACAGCCGGGUCGCCGAA
rfam:Aneurinibacillus migulanus strain DSM 2895 scaffold4, whole genome shotgun sequence.